AAGGUUAUUUUUGGAAGGGUGGAUGGCCUUGCCCAGUGACAGCAUGUUCAACGGCCGCGGUAUCCUAACCGUGCAAAGGUAGCGCAAUCAAUUGUCCCAUAAAUCGGGACUUGUAUGAAUGGCUAAACGAGGUCUUAACUGUCUCCCAUGGAUAAUCAGUGAAAUUGAUCUCCCUGUGCAAAAGCAGGGAUAACUUCAUAAGACGAGAAGACCCUGUGGAACUUUAAAAUCAGCAACCACUCCCACAAAAUUCUACCCCCACUGGGCCCACCAAUCCUCAGGAACUACUGGCACGCAUUUUUCGGUUGGGGCGACCUCGGAGCAAAACGAACCCUCCAAAAAUAAGACCACCCCUCUUAACUAAGAACAACCCAUCAACGUACUAACAGUAACCAGACCCAAUACAAUUGAUUAAUGGACCAAGCUACCCCAGGGAUAACAGCGCAAUCUCCUCCAAGAGUCCCCAUCGACGAGGAGGUUUACGACCUCGAUGUUGGAUCAGGACAUCCUAGUGGUGUAGCCGCUACUAAGGGUUCGUUUGUUCAACGAUUAACAGUCCUACGUGAUCUGAUUCCAGACCGGA
rnacentral:rRNA from 1 species